CUUCACCAGACUUGGCGAACGGUUCUCACAAUGUGGAUGCAGCAAGCCCCGGGGAGACUCUAGACAGCACUUCCGGUACUUAGUCCCUAUUUUUCAGACGUUUUCGGAAUCCAACGGCCUUACUAGUAUCAACCAUCUCUCUCCAUAUCUUUGAGGCUGACUGGUCUUAUCAAGCUUAUUCACCCAUGGCAAAGGCCACCACUGGUGACCACGGACACCAGAGGUUCUCCAGAGGGCUUCCUUCAGAUGCACUCAAGGCCUUGAGACAGAUGCGGGAUGAGUCUGCUCUCUUACCACGCUACUGCCUUUUAUCCCAAAGCCACAGAGGAGGAAGACAAGGACAAAAAUGAAGCUCUGGAGCCAGUGACCUACCUAGAAUCAGGCUCCAGGAGACCCCAGUCCAUACCUUCCUCUGGAUCUUAGUAGUAGACGGAAGGUAACCCUGGACCUGGAUCACACUGGCACCUUCAUUACCUCAUUGGUCCCUCAGAAGCCACUAUGAAGACUCCCUGAGGUUACAUUGGGUAUUGCACUGGUAUCCUAGGGGAACUGGAGAGUGACCAGGAUCCUCAGUCUCAUCCUGAUGUCACCAGAGAGCUGGGGCAAAGGCCAUACCUCCACUCUUGUCUCACCUCAAGUGACCCUUUGGACUCUGCCUGCAGGCUUUUGGGACAACACACCCCGGUCUUAAAAAGCACAGAGACAGUAGGCAGAGGGCUGUGGAAGACUGGACGACAUGAUACCUGAGUUGCUGCUGCUCUGCCUCUCCUGUUCAAGUCUCUGGACCUCGCUGGGUUACAGUGAUUAGCUUGGGGAUUUGCUAUGGGUGGAAAUGGGUAUCCUUCCAGGUUUAUAUGAUGAUGUCCUAACUCCAGGUCUCCCAGAGUGUGACCAUGCAUGGAGACAGGGUUUUGAAAUGGAUCCUUGUGUCAAAAUGGUCAUUAUAGUGGAUCUUAAUUCAGUGGGAAUGGUGUCUUCAUAGCAUUAGGACAUGGACACACAUAGAAGGAAUAACACAUGAGCGUACAGGAAAAAGGUGGCCAUCCCCAAGUCAAAAAGAAAGGCUUCAAAAGAGCCAAUCGUGUUGACCUGUCAUCUUGGAUUUGCAGUCUCUAGAAUAGGAGAAGUAAAUUCUUGCAGCGUAAAUCUUCCCAAUUGCGGUCUUCCUACCUAUUAAUAUAGGAAGCCUAGAGGAGGGGGCCCAUGAAUCAGGGACAAGGAGGUCUUUAAUCCCAUGUUGCUGAGAAACGCUUUGUGUAGGUAUACCUUUUAGAGGAAUGAUAUAUUUACACACACACACUGUACUCCCUGGCAAGGUCUCAUGUAUCCCAGGCUGGUUUCACAUUUGCUACAUAGCUGAGGAGCACAUUGAACUUCUGAUCCUUCUGUCUCUACUUCUGAAGUCUGGCAUUAAUCAAAUCCAGGGUUUACUGCAUGCUAAGCAAGCACUCUUAUCAACUGAGUCACACCCCUGGGCCCAGGGAUCUAUCCUUUAGGAAGAAUUCAAUUUUCUAGAGAGAUUCAUGAUAUAAGAAAGUGAACAAGCACUGGCUAUAUCUAGGUUUUCCUAAAGUUCAAAGCCAAACUUCAACCCUACCAAGCAGGACCUACUCAGUCUUUAACAUGUAUAGGCAACAUGCGGUUCUGGUAAUUUAGGGAGAAUCUGGGACAGCUGCUUAUUACGGGUCCCUUAAAUUGAAAUCCAGAUGUCUGGCCACCUUCAUUUUGUGAAGGUUGUGCUGAGAACUGACAGAGCUUCUUUGAUCACAUGGUUAGGCACAGGGCAAGGGAAGCCAGGAUUGCAAGCCCGACACAUUUGGACCAUUUCACUUUCACCUAAAAGUGGAGUCAGGGGGGCUGAGCAGAUGGUUCAACCAGUAAAGUGUCUGUUCUGCAAGAGUGAGGACCAAACUUCAGAUCCCCAGCACCCACAUAAAAGUCUGGUGGAUAUAGUGACCCAUUUGCCAUCCCGGUUUCAGGAUGUGGAGAGCAAGCUGGCUACCUAGACUAACCAAAUCAGCGAGCUCUGGCCUUGGGUGGAGGCCAGAGAGGACACACAGUGACAACCUCUAAUAUCUGAACCUGCAGCCAUGCACACACACACACACACACACACACACACACACACACACACACACACACACAUGCACCUGCAUAGGCCUACAUACCUACACACAUAUGAAGAUGCACAUACACAUGUACAUAUCACAUACAUAUACAUACAUGCUUUAAAAAUUAAAGUAAAGCUAGGGUCAAAAAUCUUCAACUGGAACCAUCAACAAAACUCUAUGCAGACAUCAUCCAUAUAUGGAACCAUCAUCCACGAAACCCUAUGCGGACACUGUAGAUAGAUUUCUUUGAAAUGCAUAGAAAUUUAUGGAAAAGAUAAAAAGACACAGCCUGUCAUACAUAGCUUUUAGAUAAAUGUCAUGGAUGACACAAACUUGCUUCUUUCAGAACCUUGUAGAGUUCUCUUGUUACCAUCCUGGAGAAUGGCUUUCUCGUGCCCCAAAUGCCCAGAGGUCACACUGUGAUGCUGUAUAUCCUACUCAGUGCUGGGUGGGAAUCUCUCUGUUUUCUGUGGUUCUAAGAAUGGAACCCAGGGCUUGCAAGGGCUAGGCAGGAACACUCCCAGUGAGCUACACCCCAUACCCCUUAUUAUUUAAGAGAAAGACUGUAAGUUCAAGUUCUAGCCCUGAAAAAAAAAAAAUCUCGGAGAGCAGAAAUUUAGAUUAAUGGCUUCCUUUGGAACUGAGGGAGGUGAGCUGUGCUGAGCCCAGUGUGGCUUUCCCUGUGCGUGUGACAUGCUCUCUAAGUUGUAUGCUGGCCAUGAGCUUGCUGGUUUACUCAUCUACUCUGCACAGUCUGGUAUUAAAUAUUAAAUAAACUUCAACAACCCACCUGAAAAAAAAAAUGGUUUACUUAGCCUUAAAAAUGUUCAUGUCAUUGACUGACUCUGCUUUCGGGAGUGUAUUGGAAGAAAAUAAUCUGAACUGAGGCCAGAGAUGUUCAUACCAGAAGUUUAUCGUAGCAUUGGAAAUUGGAAAUAACUUUUAAAGGUCCAACAAGGAAGAACGACUGGGAAAAUUAUGUUACUUCUAUUACACAGACUUCAAAAAAAAAAAAAAAAAGAUGCUCACAAAGAGGUUUUAGUAGUACAAGGAGCAUUUGAUAAAAUUUUAAAUAGAAAAUCAGAAUAUUAAAUUAUGCAUAAAAUAAGACUUCAAAGUGCUGGAAAAGACCGAAGAAAAAGAAAAGAAAAAAAAAGCCAAAAAGAAAACAGUGAAUAGGAAGUAUCCCUGGGCUUGUAAUUACAGUUCUUUUUCUUGUGUCCAAGUUUUUGUUUGUUUUGCAAAGCUUGGGAUCAAAGACUAAAGUCAGAGCCUUGGUCACGCUGCAUGGACACUAGUGAGCUCUGCACUCGGCCCCUGAAAGUUUUCAUUUUUAUACACGUGAACAUGGAACUCUUUCAUCAAAUGGAGAGUUGAUUAAAGAAUGGCCUGCCUAUUGGUUCUUCUUAUUAAAAACCUCCAGGUAGGUUCUUCUUUUAUGCUGAACAGCGUGGCUUCUUGCCCUCAGAAUGAAGAGGCUGAUUGGGGUAGGGGUAGCGGGGAGGCAUUUGGGGGUUUCUGGUCUCGUGUAUAUAUUUUUACUGUGCUUUUUCUUUUCUUUCUUUUUUUAUAGUUUUUUUUUAUUUAUUUAACUUUAUUUCAUGUGCAUCGGCAUCAGAGCCCCUGGAACUGGAGUUACAGACAGUUGUGAGCAGCCAUGUGGGUGCUGGGAAUUGAACCCAGGUCCUCUGGAAGAGCAGCCAGUGCUCUUAACCUCUGAGCCAUCUCUCCAGCCCCAUGGUUUUUCCUGAUACAGAUGACUGUUGUGGGAUAUUUGUGCACUGUGUGAAGAUAUAUUGCUAUGAUUGGUUUAAUAAAAGGCUAAACAGCCAAUAGCUAGGCAGGAGACUGGACUUGCUUUUGAUUGCAGCUAUCCACCUGCCUCUGCUUCCCGAGAGCUGGGAUUGAAGGCGUGUCCCUCCACGCUGGGAUCUUAUCUCAGUUUUCACUGAGCGUGUUUCGCUGUGUAAAUAUACACCCUUAUCAGCACCAUGUCCAAUGGGCUUAAUAAGCAACUUCUCCUAGCGAGUCAAACAAACAACACUGUCACUGGUCUCCUGUCUCCACACAUAUCACCCCAUUCUACCCUUCAAAGUGCCACCACUGAUCUCUUUUCUCCACACAUAUCACCCCAUUCUGUUCCUCGCCUGACAACCAUUCUUAACUCUUCCAGUGGGUUUUUUGUUUGAC